CCUACGGGAGGCUGCAGUGAGGAAUAUUGGUCAAUGGGCGGGAGCCUGAACCAGCCAAGUCGCGUGAGGGAAGACGGUCCUAUGGAUUGUAAACCUCUUUAGGCGGGGAGCAAUGCCGGGCACGUGUGCCCGGAGGGAGAGUACCCGCAGAAUAAGCAUCGGCUAACUCCGUGCCAGCAGCCGCGGUAAUACGGAGGAUGCGAGCGUUAUCCGGAUUGAUUGGGUUAAAAGGGUGCGUAGGCGGAUUUUUAAGUCAGCGGUAAAAUGUCCGGGCUCAACCCGGGCCGGCCGUUGAAACUGGGGAUCUUGAGUGGGCGAGAAGUAUGCGGAAUGCGUGGUGUAGCGGUGAAAUGCAUAGAUAUCACGCAGAACUCCGAUUGCGAAGGCAGCAUACCGGCGCCCGACUGACGCUGAGGCACGAAAGCGUGGGGAUCGAACAGGAUUAGAUACCCCUGUAGUC
rnacentral:rRNA from 1 species